UACGUAGGGCGCAAGCGUUGUCCGGAAUUAUUGGGCGUAAAGAGCUCGUAGGCGGCCAGUUGCGUCCGCUGUGAAAUCCCGGGGCUUAACCCCGGGCGUGCAGUGGAUACGGGCUGGCUAGAGGCAGGCAGGGGAGAACGGAAUUCCCGGUGUAGCGGUGAAAUGCGCAGAUAUCGGGAGGAACACCGGUGGCGAAGGCGGUUCUCUGGGCCUGUACUGACGCUGAAGCGCGAAAGCUAGGGGAGCAAACGGG
rnacentral:rRNA from 1 species